CGAUAACGAACGAGACCUCGACCUGCUAACUAGUUCGCUCUACUCUUCGGGGUAGUGUCGGACUUCUUAGAGGGACUAUCGGUUUCUAGCCGAUGGAAGUUCGAGGCAAUAACAGGUCUGUGAUGCCCUUAGAUGUCCUGGGCCGCACGCGCGCUACACUGAUGCGUUCAUCGAGCUGUGAACCUUGACCGACAGGUCCGGGGAAUCUUCUCAACGCGCAUCGUGCUGGGGAUAGAUUAUUGGAAUUAUUAAUCUUCAACGAGGAAUUCCUAGUAAACGCGAGUCAUCAACUCGCAUUGAUUACGUCCCUGCCCUUUGUACACACCGCCCGUCGCUACUACCGAUUGAAUGGCU
rnacentral:rRNA from 1 species